rnacentral:lncRNA from 1 species
CCGCAUCCUAUUUUUGGCACACGGAGGCCCCUCGCAAAGUCUCGCGGCAUUCCGAGUCCGGCCCACCCCCCAAGGCUAUAGCCCACCCGUUUUUGUGGCCUUUUUCCGCUGGACGAACUUGGCGCCCCGGCCUUCGGGCGGCUAUUAUUGCGCGCGGCUUUGCUCCCAGCCUAUUUUUGGCACACGGUGGCCCCUCGCAAAGUCUCGCGGCAUUCCGAGUCCGGCGGACGAAGUUGACCAGCCCCACCGCCCAAGGCUAUAGGCCACCCGUUUUUGUGGGCUUUUUCCGCUGGACGAAGUUGGCCAGCCCCACCCCCCAAGGCUAUAGCCCACCCGUUUUUGUGGCCUUUUUCCACUGGACGAACUUAGCGCCCCGGCCUUCGGGUGGUUAUUUUUGGGCGCGGCUUUGGCCGCGGCCUAUUUUUGGUACACGGAGGCCCCUCGCAAACUCUCGCGGCAUUCCGAGUCCGGCGGACGAAGUGGGCCAGCCCCACCCCCCAAGGCUAUAGCCCACCCGUUUUUGUGGCUUUUUUCCGCUGGACGAUCUUGGCGCCCCGGCCCUUCGGGCGGUUAUUUGCGGGCGCGGCUAUACCCACGGCCUAUUUUUCGCACACGGAGGCCCCUCACAAAGUCUCGCGGCAUUCCGAGUCUGGCGGACGAAGUUGGCCAGCCCCACCCCCCAAGGCUAUAGCCCACCCGUUUUUGUGGACUUUUUCCGCUGGACGAACUUGGCGCCGCAGACAUUGGGCGGUUAUUUUUGGGCACGGCAUUGCAUGCAGCCUAUUUUUCUCACACGGAGGCCCCUUGCAAAGUCUCGCGGCAUUCCGAGUCCGGCUGGACGAACUUGGCUCCCCGGCCUUCGGGCGUUUAUUUUUGGACGCGGCUUUGCCCGCGGCCUAUUUUUGGUACAAGGAGGCCCCUCGCAAAGUCUCGCGGCAUUCUGAGUCCGGCGGACGAAGUUGGCCAGCCCCACCCCCCAAGGCUAUAGCCCACCCGUUUUUGUGGCCUUUUUCCGCUGGACGAACUUGGCGCCCCGGACUUCGGGCGGUUAUUUUUGGGCGCGGCUUUGCCCGCGGCCUAUUUUUGGCACACGGAGGACCCUUACAAAGUCUCGCGGCAUUCUGAGUCCGGCGGACGAAGUCGGCUUGCCCCACCCCCCAAGGCUAUAGCCCACCCGUGUUUGUGGCAUUUUUCCGCUGGACGAACUUGGCGCCCUGGCCUUCGGGCGGUUAUUCUUGGGCGCGGCUUUGUCCGCAGCCUAUUUUUGGCACACGGAGGCCCCUCGUAAAGUGUCACCGCAUUUUGAGUCCGGCGGACGAAGUUGGCCAGCCCCACCCCCCAAGGCUAUAGCCCACCCGUUUUUGUGGCCUUUUACCGCUGGACGAACUUGGUGCCCCGGCCUUCAGGUGGUUAUUUUUAGGCGCGGCUUUGCCCACGGAUUAUUUAUGGCACACGGAGUUCCCUCGCAAAGUCUCACCGCAUUCCGAGUCCGGCGGACGAAGAUGGCCAGCCCCACCCCCCAAGGCUAUAGCCCACCCGUUUUUGUGGCCUUUUCCGCCGGACGAACUUGGCGCCCCGGCCUUCGGGCGGUUAUUUUUGGGCGCGCCUUUGCCCGCNNNNNNNNNNNNNNNNNNNNNNNNNNNNNNNNNNNNNNNNNNNNNNNNNNNNNNNNNNNNNNNNNNNNNNNNNNNNNNNNNNNNNNNNNNNNNNNNNNNNUAUCGCAGCAUUCCGAGUCCGGCGGACGAAAUUGGCCAGACCCACCCCUCAAGGCUAUAGUCCACCCGUUUUUGUGGCCUUUUUCCGCUGGACGAACUUGGAGCCCCAGCCUUCGGGCAGUUAUUUUUGGGCGCGGCUGUGCCUGCAGCCUAUUUUUGGCACACGGAGGCCCCUCGCAAAGUCUCGCAGCAUUCCGAGUCCGGCAGACGAAGUCGGCCCGCCCCACCCCCCAAGGCUAUAGCCCACCCGUUUUUGUGGCCUUUUUCCGCUGGACGAACUUGGCGCCCCGGCGUUCGGGCGGUUAUUUUUUGGCGUGUCUUUGCCCGUGGCUUAUUUUUGGCACGCGGAGGCCCCUCGCAAAGUCUCGCGGCAUUCCGAGUCCGGCGGACGAAGUGGGCCAGCCGCACCCCCCAAGGCUAUAGCCCACCCGUUUUUGUGGCCUUUUUCCGCUGGACGAACUUGGCUCCCCGACCUUCGGGCGGUUAUUUUUGGGCGCGGCUUUGUCCGCGUUCUAUUUUUGGUACACGGAGGCCCCUCGCAAAGUCUCGCGGCAUUCCGAGUCCGGCAGACAAAGUUGGCCAGCCCCACCCCCCAAGGCUAUAGCCCACCCGUUUUUGUGGCCUUUUUCCGCCGGACGAACUUGGCGCCCCGGCCUUCGGGUGGUUAUUUUUGGGCGCGGCUUUGCCCGCGGCCUAUUUUUGGCACACGGAGGCCCGUCGCAAAAUCUCGUGGCAUUCUGCGUCCGGCGGACGAAGUCAGCCAGCCCCACCCCCCAAGGCUAUAGCCCACCCAUUUAUGUGGCCUUUUUCCGCUGGACGAACUUGGAGACCCGGCCUUCGGGUGGUUAUUUUUGGGCGCGGCUUUGUCCACGGCCUAUUUUUGGCACACAGAAGCCCCUCGCAAAGUCUCGCGGCAUUCCGAGUCCGGCAGACGAAGUUGGCCAGCCCCACCCCCCAAGGCUAUAGCCCACCCGUUUUUGUGGCCUUUUUCCGCUGGACGAACAUGGCGCCCCGGCGUUCGGGCGGUUAUUUUUGGGUGUGGCUGUGCCUGCGGCCUAUUUUUGGCACACGGN